rnacentral:rRNA from 1 species
GAACGGGUGAGUAAUACUUUGGAAUCUUCCCAGUAGUGGGGAAUAACCAGUCGAAAGAUUGGCUAAUACCGCAUACGUCAGUGAAGAGAAAGCGGGGGAUCGUAAGACCUCGCGCUAUUGGAUGAGCCAAAGUCGGAUUAGCUAGUUGGUGGGGUAAAGGCCUACCAAGCCGACGAUCUUUACUGGUCUGAGAGGAUGAUCAGCCAAAACUGGGACUGAGACACGGCCCCAGACUCCUACGGGAGGCAGCAGUGGGGAAUAUUGGACAAUGGGGGAAACCCUGAUCCAGCGACGCCGCGUGUGUGAAGAAGGCCCGCGGGUUGUAAAGCACUUUUAGUGGGGACAAAAAGCUACGGAUUAAUACUCUGUGGUCUUGAUUUAACCAAAGAAAAAGCACCGGCUAACUCUGUGCCAGCAAGCCGCGGUAAUACAGAGGGUGCGAGCGUUAAUCGGAAUUUACUGGGCGUAAAGCGCGCGUAACGGUUUUGUAAGUCCAGAUG